CUAGCGACUUCAGAGUUUGAUCCUGGCUCAGGAUGAACACUGGCGGCGUGCUUAACACAUGCAAGUCGAACGGAGAACACUCGCUGAAGCGAGCUUGCUCAAUUCUUGAGUGUUCUUAGUGGCGGACGGGUGAGUAACGCGUGGGUAACCUGCCGUAUGCAGGGGGACAACAGUUGGAAACGACUGCUAAUACCGCAUAAGCGCACAGCAUCGCAUGAUGCAGUGCGAAAAGAUUUAUCGGCAUACGAUGGACCCGCGUCUGAUUAGCUAGUUGGUGAGGUAACGGCUCACCAAGGCGACGAUCAGUAGCCGGCCUGAGAGGGUGAACGGCCACAUUGGGACUGAGACACGGCCCAA
rnacentral:rRNA from 1 species